rnacentral:rRNA from 1 species
UACGUAGGGUGCAAGCGUUGUCCGGAAUUAUUGGGCGUAAAGAGCUCGUAGGCGGUUUGUCGCGUCGGCUGUGAAAACCUGGGGCUCAACCCCGGGCCUGCAGCCGAUACGGGCAAACUAGAAUUCGGUAGGGGAGACUGGAAUUCCUGGUGUAGCGGUGAAAUGCGCAGAUAUCAGGAGGAACACCGGUGGUGUAGGCGGCUCUCUGGACCGUAACUGACGCUGAGGCACGAAAGCGUGGGUAGCAAACAGG